rnacentral:lncRNA from 1 species
CCCUAACUUUGAACAUACCAACUGAGUAGCCUCAGACUAUAAAUUGAACAACUUCAGAUCUAUCGAAAAUAAAAAAUCUUGUCAAACAGAAAAUGUGUUUAUUAUUAACAUAGAAAAAAAAAUGACAAGGAAAACAGUUCUUUUUGGAUAUCAAAGACUUUUCCCGUUGGUAAAUCGAUAUCUAUAUGAACAUAAUCAGCUCGCCGCAUGGACGCUCUUUUACAUCGCGGUGACCGUGAGGGCAUUCCGAUGUAUUGUUGCCAUAGAGAAUUGACUUUCGUUUUUGACUAGUAACCGAUCGUAUAAAUACGCGAACAUUUCUUAGUGCAAAAUAACAAUCCGUAUCUUUUCUAUAUUUAUAAAUUUAGUUCGUUCAGUGCUGUUUAUUUGGUAAUUUUAUUGACGUAAUCAUUCUUGUACCAUCAUAACUGUCGUUCCCGUUAAAGCUUUAGAAGUGUGCUAGUUCAUAUUGCACUUUACAAAAGAUUCAGCACCCAAAUGACGUUUUUGGAGGACUGGAAAGCAGUUAUUUAUAAGGGGAAAUUUAAAGAUUUAUAGAUAUAAGAAGAUGGUGCAUGAGUUCGAAUGUGACAACUUUCCAUCAAAGCAAUAAUUUGUUUCAAGUGAACCAUUAUAGAUCAAAGUAGGGCCUUAUACACGGAGCCUUGGCUCACAGCGAACACCACGCUAUAUAUAGAAACAAAUAAAAUACUACUGUUAAACCAUUCAAACAGAAAAACCAACGGUCUAAUUUGUAUAAAAAAGGGAGAUUCAAAAGUACAGGUCAGAUUUUGUCGAAUCCAUCUGAACGAGGACAGUAUGAUUCAUCUUUGUCAAAAGUUAGUUUCAUUGUUAUCAAUAAAGAAAGUGUUCCAUGCGUGCGUUGCGAGCAUAUAAGAUAUACAUUAUUCUGUGCGUUCAUUAUAAAAUUUGCUAAAUGUUAUGUAUGUGAACAAUAAUUUUGAUACUUAGCUAUUUGAUUACGACAUUGUUUAUUAAACCCUAUCGGUACUGGCAUUUUCAAAUUUAAAAAAUGGUGAAUUGAACCUGGUUAUAGAGCGCUUAACCUCUCACGUGUAUGACAGUCUCAUCAAAUUCUGUCAUAUUUACAACAAUGCGUGAACAAAACAGACAUAAUAGGUAAAAUUGUCAAAAUUUGGGUACAGCAGUCAAAUAUUAAUACAAAUAAGUACUAAUAUUGAUAUUAGAAAAACACUGCUAUGAUAUUUUAAAAGUAUCGCAUUGAUAUUAGAA